AGGUCCUAGAGAGCCCCGGGCGGGCAGGGAGGGGUCGGGGCUCGGGGGUCACGGUGGCCACGCCGCUCCGCCGGCCCUCCCCACCCCGGUUAGGAGGCGCCUGCUGGGGAGGCCGCCCCUGCAGAGCCGGGGACGCGCGUGAACGCGUCCACACCUGUGCCCGGGCGAGGGGCGGUGUGCACGCGGCGCGCCACCGAGCAGAGGACCCGGUCCUGUCUCUGGCCGAGGUCUGCGCGAGGCCUGGGACCCCCCCUCUUGGGGACCCGGGCAGGGCCUGAGCGCCCCCAGCAGAAGGCAGAAGGAAGUGUGACCCACCACGGAGAAGACUGCGUAAAGAGGGAGCAGAGAGGCAUGAAGACUGUAUGGGGGCUACCCUACACCAGGGGAUGCCGGCAGCCCCCGAAGCUGGAAGAGGAGGGUUUUCCCAGGAGCCUCCAGAAGGAGCACAGCCCUGCCCAUACCCUGAUUCUGGUCUCAUAAAAUGGAUUUUGGACUUCUGGCCUAACGCUAUGAGGGAAUAAGCCAGCCAGUCUGUGGUGAUUGGUUACAGCAGUCACCAGAAGCAAAUGCAGAGGCCCCAGUGAGAGACCAACAGGAUAGUGGGAGCCGGCCCAGAGGAGAGGAAGGACCCCUCCCCCCGCAGCAGGGCCACAGGGUUGACAGGUAAUGCCAGGAACAUUCCAGAACUAUUUCAAGCUCCGUCAGUCAUGGGGCACCCGGAGGCUCAGUCGGUUAAGUGUUGGACUGUUGAUUUCAGCUCAGGUCAUGAUGUCACGGUGAGAUGGAGCCCGACCUCAGUCCCUAUGCUGUGUGGGGCUGACUCCCUCGAGUAUGUGCUCGCUCUCUUCCUAAAAUUAUAAAAAUUGUUAAAAAAUUUUUUAAAAAGCUUCAUCAAUCGGCCAAGAGAAAAUAGAAAACAACUGCCUGAAAUAGGGUUUCUAUGUAGGAGAUCUUCACGAACCCUGCUUCAGGCCCAUUUCCAUGCCUUACUGGGGAGAGAGCAAAGAGGUGCCUGGUGACGCACGCAGCCCACAGGACUGGGCGGGGCCUGGUCUUCACGCUGCACCUGAGAGCUCAGCACUGUUGCUGCCUUGUUGGAACUAACUGCUUUGCAGCUUUUCCUUUGGAAACUUAACCAGAAAGUGUGAAAGGUACUAGUGACUGAGCAACAGAGUGUGUUUUGAGUUUUAAAAUAUCUUCAGAAAAAUACAUGCAGUUCUUAAAGAUGUAUUAAUGAUCGUAUGACAUGAAAGGAAGGAGGAGGGAGGGAGGAAAAAAAGACAACCAGGGAGACGGACAGCCCAGGAAAACUGGUGAGACCAAGGAAGCCGGCCUACAGCUCGCAGCCCUGUGGUGACACUGGUGUGGACAGCGGUCUGCGGCUGCAGAGGAUGUUGUUACCCAGGAGGCACCUGGGCGUUGCACACACACCAGGGACUGGAGUAACAGGCUGGGUGGAAGGACAUUAGCAUACAAGCCAACGCCAGAAAUGCUUGUAAGUGAAGGAUGCAAGAACAGCCCGGAGUCACAAGUUUGUUCAAAGAAUUAUUUUAUAAAACAUUCUGAGAGAAAGGUAACCCAUAGUGAAGCUAAACUGAGUAAAGAGAAAGACAAAGUCUGGAUUUGACCAAAUCUAAAAGAGAAAAUACCAGAACGAGCGCGCUCAGUUACUACAGAAGCAGAGUCCAGGCCUGUGCAACCUACGCGCUCAAAGACCAGAAAGGAUUCUACUUAUUUUUCAAAAACUGAAAUGGUCUGCCUUGAGUUGGUCCUGCUGCACAGCUGGCAUGUCAUGAGCAGGAAAGAGACCAGAGGAGGCAUAAGAGGCUGUCUGUCUCAUGCUCAACACGCUUCCUUAAUAAUUGGAAUAGAGAAUGUUUUAGAUACAAACUGAAUAAUAAGACACCAGCCAAACACAAGAUGGGAAAAAAAAAAGAAAUUGGAACAUGACUCUUUUUAAGAUUCUUGGCUAAAAA